GGAGCAUUCAAAUAUUUCCCAAAAUACCUGUAAAUAACAAAAUAUACCCCCCCCCGUAACUAAAUGUUGCUGUAUGAUGAAAAGACGUUACAUUGGUCAUUAACAACACAUUGUUGGGGGGCACAGGGUUGUAGGGAUAAUAUAGAAGCUCAGGUGGCACAUAACUCCUAUCAUAGCCUUAAUUAAACAAUUUGAAAAACCAGAAAUACUGUAUCAAUGCACUGGGGCCAAUCUGGCAAUUACUUCUAACUAUGUUCUGACAAUCCUUGCACUCAUAGUCCUUGAAAUGAUAAGGUAAUUUCUACCUUGUAUCAUGGCCAACGUUUAGGGCCACUUUCAGUGCCUUAGCAAGCUCGAUAAUUGGGGGAGGCUCAUAUUCAUAUAUUAUAUUUGUGUUCUGCGUUAUUAAUUUCUUUUGAAAUUGAUUGUUUUUAUGGACUGUGAAUAUGAAUAUAUGAAUAUGAGGCCCCCCCCCCCCAAUUAUCGAACUUGCUACGG